rnacentral:rRNA from 1 species
GUUGGGUAGGGGAGCGUUCUGUAAGCCUGUGAAGGUGGCCUGUGAGGGUUGCUGGAGGUAUCAGAAGUGCGAAUGCUGACAUAAGUAACGAUAAAGCGGGUGAAAAGCCCGCUCGCCGGAAGACCAAGGGUUCCUGUCCAACGUUAAUCGGGGCAGGGUGAGUCGACCCCUAAGGCGAGGCCGAAAGGCGUAGUCGAUGGGAAACGGGUUAAUAUUCCCGUACUUGGUGUUACUGCGAAGGGGGGACGGAGAAGGCUAUGUUGGCCGGGCGACGGUUGUCCCGGUUUAAGCGUGUAGGUGUGUGUUCCAGGUAAAUCCGGUUCACUUUAACACUGAGGCGUGAUGACGAGGCACUACGGUGCUGAAGCAACAAAUGCCCUGCUUCCAGGAAAAGCCUCUAAGCAUCAGGUAACAUCAAAUCGUACCCCAAACCGACACAGGUGGUCAGGUAGAGAAUACCAAGGCGCUUGAGAGAACUCGGGUGAAGGAACUAGGCAAAAUGGUGCCGUAACUUCGGGAGAAGGCACGCUGACAUGUAGGUGAAGUGAUUUACUCAUGGAGCUGAAGUCAGUCGAAGAUACCAGCUGGCUGCAACUGUUUAUUAAAAACACAGCACUGUGCAAACACGAAAGUGGACGUAUACGGUGUGACGCCUGCCCGGUGCCGGAAGGUUAAUUGAUGGGGUCAGCGCAAGCGAAGCUCCUGAUCGAAGCCCCGGUAAACGGCGGCCGUAACUAUAACGGUCCUAAGGUAGCGAAAUUCCUUGUCGGGUAAGUUCCGACCUGCACGAAUGGCGUAAUGAUGGCCAGGCUGUCUCCACCCGAGACUCAGUGAAAUUGAACUCGCUGUGAAGAUGCAGUGUACCCGCGGCAAGACGGAAAGACCCCGUGAACCUUUACUAUAGCUUGACACUGAACAUUGAGCCUUGAUGUGUAGGAUAGGUGGGAGGCUUUGAAGCGUGGACGCCAGUCUGCGUGGAGCCGGCCUUGAAAUACCACCCUUUAAUGUUUGAUGUUCUAACGUGGACCCGUGAUCCGGGUUGCGGACAGUGUCUGGUGGGUAGUUUGACUGGGGCGGUCUCCUCCUAAAGAGUAACGGAGGAGCACGAAGGUUGGCUAAUCCUGGUCGGACAUCAGGAGGUUAGUGCAAUGGCAUAAGCCAGCUUGACUGCGAGCGUGACGGCGCGAGCAGGUGCGAAAGCAGGUCAUAGUGAUCCGGUGGUUCUGAAUGGAAGGGCCAUCGCUCAACGGAUAAAAGGUACUCCGGGGAUAACAGGCUGAUACCGCCCAAGAGUUCAUAUCGACGGCGGUGUUUGGCACCUCGAUGUCGGCUCAUCACAUCCUGGGGCUGAAGUAGGUCCCAAGGGUAUGGCUGUUCGCCAUUUAAAGUGGUACGCGAGCUGGGUUUAGAACGUCGUGAGACAGUUCGGUCCCUAUCUGCCGUGGGCGCUGGAGAACUGAGGGGGGCUGCUCCUAGUACGAGAGGACCGGAGUGGACGCAUCACUGGUGUUCGGGUUGUCAUGCCAAUGGCACUGCCCGGUAGCUAAAUGCGGAAGAGAUAAGUGCUGAAAGCAUCUAAGCACGAAACUUGCCCCGAGAUGAGUUCUCCCUGAGACUUAAAGUCUCCUGAAGGAACGUUGAAGACGACGACGUUGAUAGGCCGGGUGUGUAAGCGCAGCGAUGCGUUGAGCUAACCGGUACUAAUGAACCGUGAGGCUUAACCUUACAACGCCGAAG